AUUCAGCUGACGAGUCCCAAAUAGGACGAAACGUACAUCCUGGAU
rnacentral:hammerhead_ribozyme from 1 species